CAAUAGCGUAUAUUAAAGUUGUUGCAGUUAAAAAGCUCGUAGUUGAAUUUUUGCUUGCCGCCGAUGUCGGAACUUCCGUACGUUCGGCGGCGUGCAUCCUUGGGUGGAACCUGUGUGGCAUUAGGUUGUCGUGCAGGGGGUGCUCAUCGUUUACUGUGAAAAAAUUAGAGUGUUCAAAGCAGGCUUACGCCGUUGAAUAUAUUAGCAUGGAAUAAUAAGAUAGGACCUUGGUACUAUUUUGUUGGUUUGCGCACCGAGGUAAUGAUUAACAGGGACAGUUGGGGGUAUUCGUAUUCCAUUGUCAGAGGUGAAAUUCUUGGAUUUCUGGAAGACGAACUACUGCGAAAGCAUUUACCAAGGAUGUUUUCAUUAA
rnacentral:rRNA from 1 species